rnacentral:rRNA from 1 species
AUUGAACGAUGGCGGCAUGCCUUACACAUGCAAGCCGAACGGCAGCACGGGAGCAAUCCUGGUGGCGAGUGGCGAACGGGUGAGUAAUGUAUCGGAACGUACCUUUCAGUGGGGGAUAACGUAGCGAAAGUUACGCUAAUACCGCAUAUUCUGUGAGCAGGAAAGCAGGGGAUCGCAAGACCUUGCGCUGAUUGAGCGGCCGAUAUCAGAUUAGCUAGUUGGUGAGGUAAAGGCUCACCAAGGCGACGAUCUGUAGCGGGUCUGAGAGGAUGAUCCGCCACACUGGAACUGAGACACGGUCCAGACUCCUACGGGAGGCAGCAGUGGGGAAUUUUGGACAAUGGGCGCAAGCCUGAUCCAGCCAUGCCGCGUGAGUGAAGAAGGCCUCGGUUGUAAGA